CAGUGGCUGCUCGCCACUAUGCCCAACCUAGCCAGGUGGGCCGGGACGGUGGAGUGACCAAAACGCAAUCUGUUUAUAGUCGUUAUAAAGUCGCGACUGGCCAUUUUCAGUUUGUUAUACCAUGGUGCCACAGUACAAUGAGAGGGAGAACUGGGAAAUAACCUCGUAAGAGCUCACCUCCUGAAGUCAGCUGGGCCGAGCAUUGUACAGGAAAAGAUCUGACAAGAGAGAGAUGAAGCUGUCAGCACAACUUCGCCCUCUCCGGAAGCCAUAUUGAACAUGUGGAAUGAUGUUAUUCGCCUCUACAUAACACUCAAGGCGCAUCUUUAUCAUGUUUUCAUUAAGCUUUCCAACACAAGAUGACAAUGAUAUGGGACGAUAAGAGUUAGGUUCUUCAGGUGGUUUGUCAGGCUUAAGUAUAGGUAUUACACACUGUGUUUUCCAAGAUUCUGGAAUUUUUUUAAAGUGCCAAAGAGCAUUAAGAUUAGCUAAUAGUUUCUUUUGAACGGACUUAUUUAGAUUUUUGAUCAAAAUGUAUGGACAGUCAUCUAAACCAGGGGUUGUGUUUCGUCUGGAUUGUAAACUUGUACAAAGCUCACUCCAAGUAAAGGGUUCUAUAAGAAAACUAGACUUCUGAAGGCUAUUAUUAAUUUGAAAAUAACUUUCUAGAUUAUCAAUAACCCUACAUUCAUUUUGAGAUAAUUUAUCUAAAAGAGGGACAACAAAUUCGUCUUUAUAUGUUCUAUUAUUGCAUUUCAUUCGUUUAAAUAACUUGAUGUAUUUCCAAAUAAUACUAAUCGGUGUAGUUCUGUUAAACGUAUUACAGAUGUUUGCCCAACCAUUGCGUUUAUGUUCUGAAAUUGUCUUUUUCUUAACAGCAUCAAGUCUUUUGUAAUUAAUGUAAUUAUCAAUGGUUGGAUCACUUCUGUACUGUUUUAAAGCUGAAUAAGUUUUAAUAACACUCUGUUCACAUGUGUCAUUCCACCAAGGCGCUGGAGGUUUGCAACGAUAGUUAUUAGCUUUGACAAACUUUGGCACAGUAUCCCUCUUAAGUGUAUCAAGCCUUUCGAUAAAUUCGUCAUAUGACUGUAAUGGAUUCUCAUUAUUAACUUCAAAAUUAGAAAACGCAAUUAUAGAUAGCUCAUUGUAUUUUGCCCAGUCUGUCUUGUUGUAUAAGAAUUUUUCAAUGGGAGGAUUAAUUUGGUAUCUAUCAACGGACAAUAAAACACGAGUAAGUGUAGGAAAAUGAUAGCUCCCCAUACAAUCAUCGUGCACCCACCAUUCGCAUAGUGGGGUGAUUGGAGCACUACAAAAGCUGACAUCAAUAGCUGAUGGAUUACGGAUGGUUGAACUUGAAGCACCGGAAGCAUUGCUGCAAGGGCGGGACAUAUUCAAACACCCUGAACGAAAAUAGAUCAUAUUGGAUGCUGUCGGGCAGAACAUUUGACAAGAAAGUUAUACUGACAGUCUCGAGACCUACAGUACUUUGACCGACCUUCUUCGUAAAUCUUCUCACUGAAAUAAUUUCAUAAAUCGAAGACAGUUUCGUAUACAAUUCCUUGUUCGAAAUGCUGGUAGGCACAUAUCGAAUGAUUCCAGUUUUUUCUAUCUGCGCUGCUGGAAUAUGUGCCUUUAAGUUGUGCUUUGUUAAAAAGUCCGUAUUUGUGAUGAAAUUAUUUGCAGUGUUGUAUUGUUUAAAAACAACCGCAAUUUUGUUGGCAUUUACUCUAUGUAAUACUACCACACCUUUCACCUCCGAAGUAAAAAUAUUAUUUAAGUAAA